GCGUCCCUUUCCGCCAUCUCGCAAAUGGGCACCGGUCCCGGGAAAGGUGUUACCACAACCGUGAGUCAGGCUCCACACAGAGCUUGUGUCCACCGAUUUAUCACCGGUGGUGAUAGGUGGAGCGGUUAGCAGCAGGGACCGCAUAGUGAAACGCUAUUUAUGCAUCGCGUUCAUUGUCGCCAGCGCACUCGUUGUAAAGAGUGAUAAACCGGAUGUGUUUAUUGCCUUUACCCUGAUAGCGCAGGACAAGUAGCGUUAAGGCCGCCUCGGGCGGCCUUUUUU
rnacentral:sRNA from 1 species